CACGUAGGGACCAAGCGUUGUCCGGAUUCAUUGGGCGUAAAGAGCUCGUAGGCGGUUCGGUAAGUCGGGUGUGAAACCUCCAGGCUCAACCUGGAGACGCCACCCGAUACUGUCGUGACUAGAGUCCAGUAGGGGAGCGUGGAAUUCCUGGUGUAGCGGUGAAAUGCGCAGAUAUCGGGAGGAACACCUAUGGCGAAGGCAGCUCGCUGGGACGUUACUGACGCUGAGACGCGAAAGCGUGGGGAGCGAACAGG
rnacentral:rRNA from 1 species